rnacentral:rRNA from 1 species
UACAGAGGGGGGCAAGCGUUGUUCGGAAUUACUGGGCGUAAAGGGCGCGUAGGCGGCCCGCUAAGUCGAACGUGAAAUCCCCCGGGCUCAACCCGGGAACUGCGUCCGAUACUGGUGGGCUCGAAUCCGGGAGAGGGAUGCGGAAUUCCAGGUGUAGCGGUGAAAUGCGUAGAUAUCUGGAGGAACACCGGUGGCGAAGGCGGCAUCCUGGACCGGUAUUGACGCUGAGGCGCGAAAGCCAGGGGAGCAAACGGG